ACAGAUAUAUGGCAAUGGAGCUUCUAUAUUUACAACCUCUGGUGUUGCUGCAAGGAAAUUCCAAACUGAGAUUGAAGUUGGGCAGGUUGGCAUAAAUGUUCCCAUCUCUGUACCCCUGCCUUUUUCCUCUUUUACUAGCUGCAAGCCAUCCUUUGCUGGUGAUCUCAAUUUAGAUGGCAAGGCUGGAAUUCAGUUUUACACCCGGGGGAAGACAGUGACUCAACAGUGGAAAGAUUUACCAGGCAGCAAUGAUGCAUCCCUGGCAAUGGCAAGUUCUUAGUGGUUAUAACAUGUGGUCUAUAUAGAAGUGGGAGAGGCUUCUUGGGUUGACUCCUCGGUUAGCUUCCUUGCUCUCCGGCCAGCAGUUGCUCCCAUCACCCUCAGCAUCUAGUCCUGGAUAUACAUGUAUAUAUAGCAGCAAAUUGCAUGAACAGGUUUAAUUUUGUGAAUGUGUAUAAUCUAUUAUGAACAAAUGGGCACUCCUUUAAUGUAUGUAUGCAUGUGCUCUUGUGCAUAUAAUUUCAAGCAAUCCUAGUUGAA